GGACAGAUGGCCGAGCGGUCUAAGGCGCUACGUUCAGGUUAUUUCACCCUCUCCAGGUGAUCGACCUCGCUUUCGUAGUCUCGCAAGAGGCGUGGGUUCGAAUCCCACUCUGUUCA